rnacentral:tRNA from 1 species
GAUUCUUUAGUAUAAUUAAGUAUGUUUGACUUCCAAUCAAAGGGUUCUGAGGAUUA